GAUGAACGCUGGCGGCGUGCUUAACACAUGCAAGUCGAACGGAAAGGCCCAAGCUUGCUUGGGUACUCGAGUGGCGAACGGGUGAGUAACACGUGGGUGAUCUGCCCUGCACUUCGGGAUAAGCUUGGGAAACUGGGUCUAAUACCGGAUAGGACCACUUCUUGGAUGUUGUGGUGGAAAGCUUUUUCGGUGUGGGAUGAGCUGGCGGCCUAUCAGCUUGUUGUGGGGGUAAUGGCCUACCACGGCGUGGACGGGUAGCCGGACAGAGAGGGUGUGAGGCGACAUUGGGGCUGAGGGGCGGCCCAGGCUCCGAAGGGAGGCAGCAGUGGGGAAGAUUGCUCAAGGGGCGCAGGCCGGAUGCAGCGGGGCCGCGUGGGGGAUGACCGCCUUCGGGUUGUAGACACCUUGCGCUAGGGACGAAGCGUUUUGUGACGGUACCUGGAGAAGAAGCACCGGCUAACUACGUG
rnacentral:rRNA from 1 species